UCCCCGGUCGGAGGGGUUGAUUCGGCGAACUUUUAAUCCGCAGGUCGUAGGUUCGAGCCCUACUGGGGGCA
rnacentral:tRNA from 1 species